UCAAGUUACUAAGAGUAUNNGGGGGAUGCCUUGGCAUAUGAAGCUGAUGAAGGACGUGGGCAGCUGCGAUAAGCCUCGGGAAGGUGCAACCAACCGCUAAUCCGAGGAUUUCCGAAUGGGCCAACCCAUAUAGAUUAAUAUCUAUAUACUGCUAUCUGAAUAUAUAGGAUAGUUAGGAGUAACGCAGGGAAGUGAAACAUCUCAGUACCUGCAGGAAAAGAAAACAAAAGUGAUUCCCAGAGUAGCGGCGAGCGAAAUGGGAUUAGCCUAAACCAAUUAAGUGUCAUGCCUGACAGCUUAGCUUAAUUGGGGUCGUGGGAUAAAUCUUGAAAAGGUGUCAGACUUUUCGGCGAGUCAAAAAAUUAUUAAUUAGGAAAACUGAUCAGGAAAGUUCAGGCCAUAGAGGGUGAAAGCCCCGUAUCCGAAAAUUAAUAAUCUUGCUGGAUUUUCUCCCAAGUAGGACGGUACACGUGAAAUUCCGUUCGAAUCUGCCAAGACCACUUGGUAAGGCUAAAUACUCUCAUAUGACCGAUAGUGAAGAGUACCGUGAGGGAAAGGUGAAAAGUACCCCUAGAGGGGAGUGAAAUAGUACCUGAAACCGUAUACUUACAAGCUGUCAGAGCCCUUCGGGGUAAUGGCGUGCCUUUUGCAUAAUGAGCCAGCAAGUUACUCGUAUCUAGCAAGGUUAAGGAUUAAAGUCCGGAGCCGUAGGGAAACCAAGUCUGAAUAGGGCGUUUGAGUUAGAUGCGGUAGACGCGAAACCGUGUGAUCUUACCAUGGCCAGGUUGAAGCCUCAGUAAAAUGGGGUGGAGGACCGAACCCACUUGGGUUGAAAACCGAGGGGAUGAGCUGUGGUAAGGGGUGAAAGGCUAAUCAAACACGGUGAUAUCUCGUUCUCUCCGAAAUGCAUCUAGGUGCAGCGUUGCUUUAAAGUAUCAUGGAGGUAGAGCACUGAAAGGGCUAGGGGGCAUACCCGCCUACCAACCCCUAUCAAACUCCGAAUGCCAUAGAUAUGUUCAGCAGCAGUGAGGCUAUGUGAGAUAAGUUUCAUAGCCGAGAGGGAAACAACCCAGACCUACAGCUAAGGUCCCUAAAUUAUUGCUAAGUGAUAAAGGUUGUAGAAUAGCAUAGACAGCUAGGAGGUUGGCUUAGAAGCAGCCAUUCCUUUAAAGAAAGCGUAACAGCUCACUAGUCUAGGUGUUCUGCGCCGAUGAUAGCCGGGACUAAGCAAUAUACCGAAGCUUAGGACUCCUUUGGGAGUGGUAGGAGAGCGUUCUAUUAACCGUCGAAGGUUAUUCGUGAGAAUAGCUGGAGGAGAUAGAAGUGAGGAUGCUGGCAUGAGUACACGAUAAAACAAGUUAAAUUCUUGUUCACCGAAAGCCCAAGGUUUCCUGAUCAACGUAAAUCGGAUCAGGGUUAGCCGGCCCCUAAGGCGAGGCCGAAAGGCGUAGUCGAUGGGAAUCAGGUAGCUUUAAAUAUUCCUGAGCCUCCGAACCUUAAACUAGAAACUCCAUGAUCCAGAUCUAUUAAGCUUAUUGAUUUGUUUAAUAGAAGUAAGUUGUGGCAAGAAAAAAUCUAGUGUAUGCUAAGGAGACCGUACCGUAAACCGACACAGGUAGGCGAGGAGAGAAUCCUAAGGUGCUUGAGAGAAUUCUGGUUAAGGAACUCGGCAAAAUCGCCCCGUAACUUCGGGAUAAGGGGUGCCCUUUUCGAAGGGCCGCAGUGACUAGAGGGUAGCGACUGUUUACUAAAAACAUAGGUCUAUGCUAACACGUAAGUGGAAAUAUAUGGACUGACACCUGCCCGGUGCUGGAAGGUUAAAAGGAUGGGUUAGAUUCUUCGGAAUCGAAGCUUUGAUUUGAAGCCCCAGUAAACGGCGGCCGUAACUAUAACGGUCCUAAGGUAGCGAAAUUCCUUGUCGGGUAAGUUCCGACCUGCACGAAUGGUGNAACGACUUCCCUACUGUCUCGACCAGAAACUCAGUGAAAUUGUACUGCCGGUGAAGAUGCCGGUUACCCGUAGAAGGACGGAAAGACCCCGUGAACCUUUACUACAGCUUGAUAUUGGCUUUAGAUUCUAUAUGUGUAGGAUAGGUGGGAGACUUUGAAGCGGGCACGCUAGUGUUCGUGGAGUCAUCCUUGAAAUACCACCCUUAUAUCAUUUGAAUUCUAACUGUAUACCUUGAAUCAGGUAUCAGGACAGUGUCUGGUGGGUAGUUUGACUGGGGCGGUCUCCUCCUAAAAAGUAACGGAGGAGCUCAAAGGUUCCCUCAGCACGGUCGGUAAUCGUGCGCAGAGUGCAAACGCAUAAGGGAGCUUAACUGCAAGACAGACAUGUCGAGCAGAUGCGAAAGCAGGAGUUAGUGAUCCGGCGAUUCCGAGUGGAAGGGUCG
rnacentral:rRNA from 1 species